GGGAACGUACCCUUCGGUUCGGAAUAACUCAGGGAAGCUUGAGCUAAUACCGGAUACGCCCUUUUGGGGAAAGGUUUACUGCCGAAGGAUCGGCCCGCGUCUGAUUAGCUUGUUGGUGGGGUAACGGCCUACCAAGGCGACGAUCAGUAGCUGGUCUGAGAGGAUGAUCAGCCACACUGGGACUGAGACACGGCCCAGACUCCUACGGGAGGCAGCAGUGGGGAAUAUUGGACAAUGGGCGCAAGCCUGAUCCAGCCAUGCCGCGUGAGUGAUGAAGGCCUUAGGGUUGUAAAGCUCUUUUGUCCGGGACGAUAAUGACGGUACCGGAAGAAUAAGCCCCGGCUAGCUUCGUGCCAGCAGCCGCGGUAAUACGAAGGGGGCUAGCGUUGCUCGGAAUCACUGGGCGUAAAGGGCGCGUAGGCGGCCGAUUAAGUCGGGGGUGAAAGCCUGUGGCUCAACCACAGAAUUGCCUUCGAUACUGGUUGGCUUGAGACCGGAAGAGGACAGCGGAGCUGCGAGU
rnacentral:rRNA from 1 species